ensembl:lncRNA
GUGUUUUACAAUUUUUCUUUUUUUCAUGAUUUUUAGUCGCCUUUUAAAAUGUACAGUUCUGUUAUUUAAAAAGAGAUUUCUUGUUCACUAGUGUUACUGCUAUUUUUAUGCCAUUUUAAACUUUUCUUUUUCAGAUAUUAAAAUAAUACUACACCAUAAUGCUUUUGGUUUGUGACAUAUAGUGCUUAACUUUGAUUUGAUAGAAACAAUAAAACCCUUUUUGUCUCUCUUUAUGAAUUGUCACACACCCUUCUAUCAGUAAUCACUUUUAUUUUCAGGUUUUUUUUUUUUUAACACAGAAUUGAAUUUCGCUUUGUUUUCUCUGACUUCUUCAUGAAAGAAUGAUCUCACUACAGUCUUCCUUCUUGUAUUUUUGUUUUGCCAGUAGAUGGAGGCAGCGAGAUAUAUUUCACCUGUUUGUGUUCAGGAAAAAGAGAAAGUAGGAGUACACUGGUGAGAAAGGCACCUUUGUCCUUGUUUCAUGAUGAACACCUUCUCAUGUGGUGGUUUGAAGAGAAAGAUGCAGCGAAGAUAUUUAUGACAACCAUUAUCUUCUGUUGUGAGCCAACGAGGGAAUUUACUGGAGGAUUUGUUUCACUUCACGUCUCUCUCUGAUGAAAGUAACCCUUGCCUUGAACUCUCCCGGGAACUCUGAGAGGACUUUUAUAGAAUUCUCAUUGUAACCAGCAGAUGAACUAAUUACACUAUAUGGCUAAAGUUAUAAUAGCCUCCACUCUUCUUGGAAGGCUUUCCGCU